rnacentral:lncRNA from 12 species
GGGGAGUCGGGGGUUCCUGGUGCCUUAAUCACCGUGAUGCUUUAUACCAUCCUGUUCAUGAUCUCAUCAACAGUGUUGUACCUGUAUUUUUUAAGGCUACACAGCGAAGGUUGGCUCUUGGAUGUACUUCGACGUAUUCAUGGUGAGGAAGGCACAUUCUUUGUUCCACUGGACUUGGAGAUUUCCAGUCAGGAGCUGAGCUACAUUAUGAAGAGGGCUGAGCAGUGGAGGGGGAUCAAUGGUGAAAGACGGAUGGUGAGUGGUCAACAGAGUCUCCAAAAAGAGUCUGUGGUCCAAAUGAAUGCUUUGUAUUUCUUAGUGUUAUUUAAGAGGAUCUAGAUAUUAGAAAAUUAUUCUUAGGGUGCUUCAUUGAAUGGGGAAGCUAAAAAGCAGCAUGUUCUGG